GUCGAGUGAAACGAGGCUGCGAUCUUUUGAUCUUGUUUUUUUUUAAAGAUCAAGAUCAAAAGAUCGCAGCCUCGUUUCACUCGAC
rnacentral:misc_RNA from 1 species